UUUCAGUAGGGAGGAAGGUAGUGUAGUUAACACCUGCACUAUUUGACGUUACCUACAGAAGAAGCACCGGCUAACUCCGUGCCAGCAGCCGCGGUAAUACGGAGGGUGCGAGCGUUAAUCGGAAUUACUGGGCGUAAAGCGCAUGCAGGCGGCCUGUUAAGUCAGAUGUGAAAGCCCGGGGCUUAACCUCGGAAUUGCAUUUGAAACUGGCAGGCUAGAGUCUUGUAGAGGGGGUAGAAUUUCAGGUGUAGCGGUGAAAUGCGUAGAGAUCUGAAGGAAUACCAGUGGCGAAGGCGGCCCCCUGGACAAAGACUGACGCUCAGAUGCGAAAGCGUGGGGAGCAAACAGGAUUAGAUACCCUGGUAG
rnacentral:rRNA from 1 species